rnacentral:antisense_RNA from 1 species
GGGUGCCUGAGGCUUUCUGCGUUCAGGCUUAGGUGAGGAUUCAGAAAGACGAAGCCCCAGGAGAUGUUCCCAUCAACCUGAGGCCUACAAUCCAAACCUAGCACGUUGGAUAGUAGCCUCUUCUUCGCAUGGAGGCAACGAGAUG